GCUUCACUUUAACUGCUAUGAUUCCACCCCAUGCAAUCCUGGCAUCAGAUCUUGAUUAAUCUUGUGAGCUAAGCAGGGUCAGCCUUGGUUAGUACUUAGAUGGGAGACCAUCAAUGAACAUUAGGUGUUAGAGGCU
rnacentral:rRNA from 11 species